rnacentral:rRNA from 1 species
AUUGAACGCUGGCGGCAGGCCUAACACAUGCAAGUCGAACGAGUGGCGGACGGGUGAGUAAUGUCUGGGAAACUGCCUGAUGGAGGGGGAUAACUACUGGAAACGGUAGCUAAUACCGCAUACAAACAGAUGUGCCAAGAUGGGAUUAGCUAGUGGGUGGGGUCAAGGCUCACCAAGGCGACGAUCCCUAGCUGGUCUGAGAGGAGGACCAGCCACACUGGACAGGAGACACGGUCCAGACUCCUACGGUAGGCAGCAGUGGGUAAUAUUGCACAAUGGGCGCAAGCCUGAUGCAGCCAUGCCGCGUGUAUGAAGAAGGCCUUCGGGUUGUAAAGUACUUUCAGCGGGGAGGCGUUACCCGCAGAAGAAGCACCGGCUAACUCCGUGCCAGCAGCCGCGGUAAUUC